ensembl:snoRNA SNORA65 small nucleolar RNA, H/ACA box 65
CCCGCCACUGCACCUGACCAGUUUGUGGGCUGGUGCAGUCCAGUGGUGAGCUGACAGUAAACCCCAGCCAAGGAAACAGGGUUAUUCUUCAUGUGGAUGACUCUGUGCCGAAAGCAUGGGAACAGCC